UCCACACAAGAAAGAUUGACGUGUGUUUGGAAAAUUUUUAAUCUUCUCAUUUAGUGUUAAUCCUAACAAAUAUUAUGAAUAUUUUACGACGGAAGUUGAAGUACAAUAGUUUCCAGGGAACAGUUAACACAACAGGAUAACAGUUAACAACCCAGAAUCAGCAAAUGCCGAAGUUUCAAAACGUACUUUAGAAAAAAAUGUACUUUCACCGUAUCGCAGAAGUAAUUAAAUAGAGUGAAGACAAAAAACCAUUAAAAACAAUCUUCCAUGGACGUGUGCUUCUGCAAAAUUAUUGUUGCCAUAAUGAAGUGACAAUCUUACAAUUAAAAGCCUUUUAGUUAAUGUCAAGAUGGAAAAUUUUCUCCAAAAAAUAGACUGAAGUUUAAGUACAGCAGAUUCCAGAGAACAGUGAUUCCAUUGUUAACCAUCCAGAAUCCGAAAAGAUUAAGUUCUUUGACUUGAUUCAGAAAUUAAAAUACUAUAAAAAUAUCAAAAAUUUCAAUAGAGCAAUAUAAGUAGAAACAAUUAAAAAUACUAUUUUCAAGUAUUGUGAUGAUGCUGAUUUUCGGUUGUCAUAAAAAAUGGGGAUUAUACAAACUCCCUUAUGACAUGAAUUUCAAGACCAAAGUAUUAUCAUCGAUAUUUAAAAACAAUCUGGUGUACAAUUAACUACAAAUCGGGUGUUUUACAUUAUUUCGAGAUUUUAAGGUUAUGUUGCCAUUGUUUGGAGAUUGUCUUAU